rnacentral:rRNA from 1 species
GACGAACGCUGGCGGCGUGCUUAACACAUGCAAGUCGAACGGAAAGGCCCUGCUUGCAGGGUACUCGAGUGGCGAACGGGUGAGUAACACGUGGGUGAUCUGCCCUGCACUUCGGGAUAAGCCUGGGAAACUGGGUCUAAUACCGGAUAGGAGCCAUUUUUAGUGUGAUGGUUGGAAAGUUUUUUCGGUGUAGGAUGAGCUCGUGGCCUAUCAGCUUGUUGGUGGGGUAAUGGCCUACCAAGGCGGCGACGGGUAGCCGGCCUGAGAGGGUGGACGGCCACAUUGGGACUGAGAUACGGCCCAGACUCCUACGGGAGGCAGCAGUGGGGAAUAUUGCACAAUGGGCGCAAGCCUGAUGCAGCGACGCCGCGUGGGGGAUGACGGCCUUCGGGUUGUAAACUCCUUUCGCUAGGGACGAAGCUUUUUGUGACGGUACCUAGAUAAGAAGCACCGGCUAACUACGUG